rnacentral:piRNA from 1 species
UCUCUACGGUGAAGUGUGAUGCAGUGUUC